rnacentral:rRNA from 1 species
AAAUGCCUACGGGGGGCAGCAGUAGGGAAUCUUCCACAAUGGGCGAAAGCCUGAUGGAGCAACGCCGCGUGGGUGAAGAAGGUCUUCGGAUCGUAAAACCCUGUUGUUAGAGAAGAAAGUACGUGAGAGUAACUGUUCACGUUUCGACGGUAUCUAACCAGAAAGCCACGGCUAACUACGUGCCAGCAGCCGCGGUAAUACGUAGGUGGCAAGCGUUAUCCGGAUUUAUUGGGCGUAAAGGGAACGCAGGCGGUGUUUUAAGUCUGAUGUGAAAGCCUUGGGCUUAACGG